AGGGGCGGUGGCGCAGUUGGUUAGCGCGUCGGUCUCAUAGCUACCGAGAAAUCCGGAGGUCGAGAGUUCGAGCCUCUCUCGCCCCACUUUUUCGCGUCGGUUAUA